rnacentral:tRNA from 1 species
GGGGUUGUGACUCAGUAGUAGAGUGCUAGCCUGGCACGCAUGAGGCACUGGGUUCGAUCCCCAGCACCA